rnacentral:rRNA from 1 species
GUUAGUAACUGAACAAGUCUUGACGGUACCUAACCAGAAAGCCACGGCUAACUACGUGCCAGCAGCCGCGGUAAUACGUAGGUGGCAAGCGUUAUCCGGAAUUAUUGGGCGUAAAGCGCGCGUAGGCGGUUUCUUAAGUCUGAUGUGAAAGCCCACGGCUCAACCGUGGAGGGUCAUUGGAAACUGGGAAACUUGAGUGCAGAAGAGGAGAGUGGAAUUCCAUGUGUAGCGGUGAAAUGCGCAGAGAUAUGGAGGAACACCAGUGGCGAAGGCGGCUCUCUGGUCUGUAACUGACGCUGAUGUGCGAAAGCGUGGGGAUCAAACAGGAUUAGAUACCCUGGUAGUCCACGCCGUAAACGAUGAGUGCUAAGUGUUAGGGGGUUUCCGCCCCUUAGUGCUGCAGCUAACGCAUUAAGCACUCCGCCUGGGGAGUACGACCGCAAGGUUGAAACUCAAAGGAAUUGACGGGGACCCGCACAAG